AUUGAACGCUGGCGGCAGGCCUAACACAUGCAAGUCGAGCGGAUGAGAGGAGCUUGCUUCUCGAUUCAGCGGCGGACGGGUGAGUAAUGCCUAGGAAUCUGCCUGGUAGUGGGGGACAACGUUUCGAAAGGAACGCUAAUACCGCAUACGUCCUACGGGAGAAAGCAGGGGACCUUCGGGCCUUGCGCUAUCAGAUGAGCCUAGGUCGGAUUAGCUAGUUGGUGAGGUAAUGGCUCACCAAGGCGACGAUUCGUAACUGGUCUGAGAGGAUGAUCAGUCACACUGGAACUGAGACACGGUCCAGACUCCUACGGGAGGCAGCAGUGGGGAAUAUUGGACAAUGGGCGAAAGCCUGAUCCAGCCAUGCCGCGUGUGUGAAGAAGGUCUUCGGAUUGUAGAGCACUUUAAGUUGGGAGGAAGGGUUGUAGAUUAAUACUCUGCAAUUUUGACGUUACCGACAGAAUAAGCACCGGCUAACUCUGUGCCAGCCGCCGCAGUAAAAC
rnacentral:rRNA from 1 species